CACGGGCCCACACCCCGGGAAAAGGGGAAAGGGGAAAAGGUCACAGCAGUAAAGUGGGUUGUUUUGUGAAUCACCUCUAGGAUGACACUCAACCAGAGGUCUAAGUUUUCACAGAGGGUGCAGUACCAGCAGAGCGAACAGUGAGGCUAAUCAAGAGUGCAACCAACCUCACUUCACACACUGAGAGAGCAUUGCAGAAUUACGCACCCAGGGCUAUUUGAUCAGCGUACAAGAGUUCAGGUCAAGUCUCUAUUUUGUUCCCUGAAAUGCCACUGGUCUACUUUUAUUAAAGCAGAGGUCCCUCAGAAAUGAAAUUUCUUGUCAGAAUAGGUGCCAGAAGGUAAUCUGUACUAAGGCUUAAUUGAAAGCUUCUUUGUCCUGGAAAAACAGACUUUAAUGAAAGCAGAAUUUGGAAGCAUGACAUUAGUGUAGACUUUCUUCUGAUGAGCCUUAUCAGAGAUCAUAACCACCAACGAUAACACUACUUCUAGAAGUUUGUAAAAGGCACGUUUAUUACAUUCAUUUUUUUUCGAAAAUAUUGCAUAUGACACAGUGCUGCAUGCAGUUCUGUCUUUGUUUUUUUUUUAUGGAAACAUCAUGUUCAGGGAGCAUCAGUGAGCCUCAGAAGGUUUGCCUUUCUGUAGUAAUUUUCAGAUAGGUACCAUUUUCCUUUUUUUCAGGCGAAGCACUUCAUCUAUCCAAGUUAUGUAGUGGUUUUGCUUUAACAUGAUAUUAUUGCUUUAGCACUA